rnacentral:misc_RNA from 1 species
GGAAUUAAGGUUACAAUGCUAAUUUGACAGAUUCCAGAAGCUCAGAGAAUACAAAGAAUACAAAGAGGACUUGUUCAUUGUAAGUCCCACUUAUUAAUUUCAAUGGCAGGGUCUAACAAUCCAAAGAAGGAAUACCUCCCUGAAAUUCACAAUCAAUAAGCACAAUAUCGCUUAUGGUACGGAAGACUGCAAUCGAAACAGAAGAACACAUCACUUAGAGAAAAAAAAAAUCUAACAAAAAUUUCAUGUCAGACAAAAAUAAUUUGUUGUGUAUAUGAAGUAGCUUAUUUUCUUCCUCAAUUCAAUAAAGGACUCUUCAGGUCACUCCAUCACCAUUACAAUAUGUCCACCAAUUUUGCCACGGCAGAAGCCUAGUUUUCUGACAAAGCAAUUAUUUGCCAAUUUCAAGUCCUCCCAAAUCACUGGAAUGAGAGAAACCAGAUGGAACCUAGUUAACGACAUCAACAACAAGCCUGCGAGACUUCAAAACUGACCACUUCAAGCGCCGGUAAUAUGCAGCCUGAAGUAAUGC